GAUGAACGCUGGCGGCGUGCCUAAUACAUGCAAGUCGAGCGAACAGACGAGGAGCUUGCUCCUUUGACGUUAGCGGCGGACGGGUGAGUAACACGUAGGUAACCUACCUAUAAGACUGGGAUCACUUCGGGAAACCGGAGCUAAUACCGGAUAAUAUUUCGAACCGCAUGGUUCGAUAGUGAAAGAUGGCUUUGCUAUCACUUAUAGAUGGACCUGCGCCGUAUUAGCUAGUUGGUAAGGUAACGGCUUACCAAGGCAACGAUACGUAGCCGACCUGAGAGGGUGAUCGGCCACACUGGAACUGAGACACGGUCCAGACUCCUACGGGAGGCAGCAGUAGGGAAUCUUCCGCAAUGGGCGAAAGCCUGACGGAGCAACGCCGCGUGAGUGAUGAAGGUCUUCGGAUCGUAAAACUCUGUUAUUAGGGAAGAACAAACGUGUAAGUAACUGUGCACGUCUUGACGGUACCUAAUCAGAAAGCCACGGCUAACUACGUG
rnacentral:rRNA from 1 species